AAAUUGAAGAGUUUGAUCAUGGCUCAGAUUGAACGCUGGCGGCAGGCCUAACACAUGCAAGUCGAGCGGAAACGAGUUAACUGAACCUUCGGGGGACGUUAACGGCGUCGAGCGGCGGACGGGUGAGUAAUGCCUAGGAAAUUGCCCUGAUGUGGGGGAUAACCAUUGGAAACGAUGGCUAAUACCGCAUAAUGCCUUCGGGCCAAAGAGGGGGACCUUCGGGCCUCUCGCGUCAGGAUAUGCCUAGGUGGGAUUAGCUAGUUGGUGAGGUAAGGGCUCACCAAGGCGACGAUCCCUAGCUGGUCUGAGAGGAUGAUCAGCCACACUGGAACUGAGACACGGUCCAGACUCCUACGGGAGGCAGCAGUGGGGAAUAUUGCACAAUGGGCGCAAGCCUGAUGCAGCCAUGCCGCGUGUAUGAAGAAGGCCUUCGGGUUGUAAAGUACUUUCAGCAGUGAGGAAGGUGGUGUAGUUAAUAACUGCAUCAUUUGACGUUAGCUGCAGAAGAAGCACCGGCUAACUCCGUGCCAGCAGCCGCGGUAAUACGGAGGGUGCGAGCGUUAAUCGGAAUUACUGGGCGUAAAGCGCAUGCAGGUGGUCUGUUAAGUCAGAUGUGAAAGCCCGGGGCUCAACCUCGGAAUUGCAUUUGAAACUGGCAGACUAGAGUACUGUAGAGGGGGGUAGAAUUUCAGGUGUAGCGGUGAAAUGCGUAGAGAUCUGAAGGAAUACCGGUGGCGAAGGCGGCCCCCUGGACAGAUACUGACACUCAGAUGCGAAAGCGUGGGGAGCAAACAGGAUUAGAUACCCUGGUAGUCCACGCCGUAAACGAUGUCUACUUGGAGGUUGUGGCCUUGAGCCGUGGCUUUCGGAGCUAACGCGUUAAGUAGACCGCCUGGGGAGUACGGUCGCAAGAUUAAAACUCAAAUGAAUUGACGGGGGCCCGCACAAGCGGUGGAGCAUGUGGUUUAAUUCGAUGCAACGCGAAGAACCUUACCUACUCUUGACAUCCAGAGAAGCCAGUAGAGAUACAGGUGUGUGCCUUCGGGAACUCUGAGACAGGUGCUGCAUGGCUGUCGUCAGCUCGUGUUGUGAAAUGUUGGGUUAAGUCCCGCAACGAGCGCAACCCUUAUCCUUGUUUGCCAGCGAGUAAUGUCGGGAACUCCAGGGAGACUGCCGGUGAUAAACCGGAGGAAGGUGGGGACGACGUCAAGUCAUCAUGGCCCUUACGAGUAGGGCUACACACGUGCUACAAUGGCGCAUACAGAGGGCAGCAAGCUAGCGAUAGUGAGCGAAUCCCAAAAAGUGCGUCGUAGUCCGGAUUGGAGUCUGCAACUCGACUCCAUGAAGUCGGAAUCGCUAGUAAUCGUGGAUCAGAAUGCCACGGUGAAUACGUUCCCGGGCCUUGUACACACCGCCCGUCACACCAUGGGAGUGGGCUGCAAAAGAAGUAGGUAGUUUAACCUUCGGGAGAACGCUUACCACUUUGUGGUUCAUGACUGGGGUGAAGUCGUAACAAGGUAGCCCUAGGGGAACCUGGGGCUGGAUCACCUCCUUA
rnacentral:rRNA from 1 species